GGGUGCGAUCAUACCAGCGUUAAUUAGCCAGAUCCCAUCAGAACUACGCGGUUAAGCGCGCUUGGGCUAGAGUAGUACUCGGAUGGGUGACCUCUCGGGAAGUCCUAGUGUUGCACCCU
rnacentral:rRNA from 1 species